rnacentral:rRNA from 1 species
CGGAGCUGGCCCCCACGAUAGGGCCAAACGUCCGUCAGGGGUGAGCAGAUGUGCGCCGGCCGUACCGCCCCAUUCUUGUCUACCUUACUCGGUUGCCUCGGCGGGCCGCGCUCUCUCAGGAGAGCCGUUCGGCGAGCCUCUCUUUAGUGGCUCAACGCUGGACCGCGCCCGCCGGAGGACAGACGCAAAAAAAUUCUUUCAGAAGAGCUGUCAGUCUGAGCGUUAGCAAGCAAAAAUCAGUUAAAACUUUCAACAACGGAUCUCUUGGUUCCGGCAUCGAUGAAGAACGCAGCGAAAUGCGAUAAGUAAUGUGAAUUGCAGAAUUCCGUGAAUCAUCGAAUCUUUGAACGCACAUUGCGCCCCCUGGCAUUCCGGGGGGCAUGCCUGUUCGAGCGUCAUUUCAGCCCCUCAAGCCCGGCUUGUGUGAUGGACGACCGUCCGGCGCCCCCGUCUUUGGAGGUGCGGGACGCGCCCGAAAAGCAGUGGCCAGGCCGCGAUUCCGGCUUCCUAGGCGAAUGGGCAACAAACCAGCGCCUCCAGGACCGGCCGCCCUGGCCUCAAAAUCUGUUUUAUACUUAUCAGGUUGACCUCGGAUCAGGUAGGGAUACCCGCUGAACUUAAGCAUAUCA